rfam:Schistosoma rodhaini strain Burundi genome assembly, scaffold: SROB_scaffold0000202
UCAUAGGUUUUUUUCAAAACCAUUAAAUUUACACGUUGUUUUAUUCU